CACGUUUUAGCAUUACAAUGACAAAUCAUAAAAGAUGACACACUUAAAAAAAAAAAAAAAGAUGUUUAUUGGAGACAUGAUUAUUUUCUAUCUACAGCAAAUGGAAAAUUGACUGAGAUGAGAGAAGCCAGCAAGUUAAGGUCCAAAUUGAAACAUUUGAGUACAUAAGUGUCUUCUGUGGGAAGAGGAGCAACAGCUGCCCACCAAAUUGGAAGAAGAUAUAAUGAAUGCAUCUUCUCUGAAUCACAAGAAAAAGACUAUUUCAACUUAAGAGAACAUUUUAAUCUCAGUCAAAAUGGGGCAUCUUCACCAUAAGGUUGUCUGCAGUCAUGCUGCUGCAGGGUGCCCAGCCCAUGGAAAAGGGAAUGGAGGGGCUGAGGGCAGCACUGGCACAUGUGUCCUGUGGCUCUGCGGUGGGCUUUGGCUCCAGGGCAUGGCAGUAAGCCAUGACCCAGGCAACUCCAGGCCUCUCUGGACUCUCGUGGAGGCUGUUGGACCCAGAGGUCAUCCUGACACCCUGCUCCAAGACAGCCGCUGGCUUCGGCAAUACACACGGUGAUGUUAAUUUU
ensembl:lncRNA